CCGAUGCGGGUCCUUUGGGCCCAACCUCCCAUCCGUGUCUAUUGUACCCUGUUGCUUCGGCGGGCCCGCCGCUUGUCGGCCGCCGGGGGGGCGCCUCUGCCCCCCGGGCCCGUGCCCGCCGGAGACCCCAACACGAACACUGUCUGAAAGCGUGCAGUCUGAGUUGAUUGAAUGCAAUCAGUUAAAACUUUCAACAAUGGAUCUCUUGGUUCCGGCAUCGAUGAAGAACGCAGCGAAAUGCGAUAACUAAUGUGAAUUGCAGAAUUCAGUGAAUCAUCGAGUCUUUGAACGCACAUUGCGCCCCCUGGUAUUCCGGGGGGCAUGCCUGUCCGAGCGUCAUUGCUGCCCUCAAGCCCGGCUUGUGUGUUGGGUCGCCGUCCCCCUCUCCGGGGGGACGGGCCCGAAAGGCAGCGGCGGCACCGCGUCCGAUCCUCGAGCGUAUGGGGCUUUGUCACAUGCUCUGUAGGAUUGGCCGGCGCCUGCCGACGUUUUCCAACCAUUCUUUCCAGGUUGACCUCGGAUCAGGUAGGGAUACCCGCU
rnacentral:rRNA from 1 species